GACGUAGGGCGCGAGCGUUGUCCGGAUUUAUUGGGCGUAAAGAGCUCGUAGGCGGCUUGUUGCGUCGACCGUGAAAACCCGGGGCUCAACUUCGGGCUUGCGGUCGAUACGGGCGGGCUAGAGUUCGGUAGGGGAGACUGGAAUUCCUGGUGUAGCGGUGAAAUGCGUAGAGAUGCGGAGGAACACCGAUGGCGAAGGCAGCCCCCUGGGCUAGCACUGACGCUCAGGCACGAAAGCGUGGGGAGCAAACAGG
rnacentral:rRNA from 1 species